AACGUCGCUGGCGGCACGCCUAACACCUGCAGGUUUAAACGAAGUAGCAGUACUUAGUGGCAGACGGGUGAGUAACAUGUAGGUAUCUGCCCUUUGGCCGUGGGAAUAACACGAGGAAACUUGUGCUAAUACCGGAUAAGUCUUUACGGAGAAAGCUUUAUGCACCAUUGGAUGAGCCUGCACUUGAUUGAGUUUGUUGGUGGGGUAAUGGCCUACCAAGACUGUGAUCAAUAGCUGAUUUGAGAGGAUGAUCAGCCACAUUGGGACUGAGACACGGUCCCAAACUCCUACGGGAGGCAGCAGUGGGGAAUCUUGCACAAUGGAGGAAACUCUGAUGCAGCGACGCCGCGUGAGCGAAGAAGGCCCUUGGGUUGUAAAGCUCUUUCGUCGGGGAAGAAAAUGACUGUACCCGAAUAAGAAGGUCCGGCUAACUUCGUGCCAGCAGCCGCGGUAAUACGAAGGGACCUAGCGUAGUUCGGAAUUACUGGGCUUAAAGAGUUCGUAGGUGGUUGAAAAAGUUCAGUGGUGAAAUCCCAGAGCUUACCUCUGGAACUGCCAUUAAAACUUUUCAGCUAGAGUAUGAUAGAGGAAAGCAGAAUUUCUAGUGUACAGGUGAAAU
rnacentral:rRNA from 1 species